ensembl:lncRNA
GAGCAACGGGUAUUUAAUUUGAUGGCCAUGGGGAGCCACUGAAGGUUUUUAAGCAGGAAAAUGACAUAAUCCAAGUUGGGCUUUAAAGGUACGAUUUGAGAUUGUAAGGUUGAGUAGAAAGUUAUGACAAUAAUCCAGGCAAGUGUUACUGAAGACUUCAACUAGGGUUUUUUGGUUUUUUAAUUGGGAACGUAGCAAAGUGUGACUUUAUUCUGAUGGACAUGCAUGGGCACCCAGCAGACAUCCGAUAACACUGUGUAACAUGAAUGAACAGAUGAGUGACCUGGGAACAUCACCACACAGACCAAUCAACACAGUCAUGCAGUUAAGCUUUACAUUUUGAGCUCUUUUCACCCAUAUCAAGUGGACCCAAAAAUCCUUUCUUGAACAUUUGCACUUGGGUUCAUUGUUUGGAUGGUUGUACACGUAACCAGGUUUCUAGUCUCUUCUCUCCCUCUCAGGCUGAGGUCUGUCCACUGCAGGCAGGGGGUGCACAUGGGGUUCACCUUCCUACCUGUGCAUUUGCUGACAGUCUGCUGCAGUUGGGGCAGCAGUGGAGAAAGGUGACAUCGGGUCCUUUGCCCAAGGUCAAGUCACUGGGCCAUUCUGGGCUCGGCUCUUCAUCUGUAAACUGCCCGUCACAAAAUGGGGAGAGCUUUAGGGACUGCUGGUUUGAGACAUUGGGGACAUAAGUGAGCCUUCUGGACUUGGGGUGUUCUUGAGAGGUUCAGCUCGGCCACUCGAAGUGUGGGACAUUUGCUUGGUUGGCUGGGUAGCUUCUGGCCUCUUUGUCCUCAGGUAAAACUGCCAGGUCACCAGAUUCUGGAUAGGUGAAUUGUCCCUGCUUCAUACCAACACACUUCAUCCUAAAAGAACAUCUAGAUCCUUGCAUGAGUCAUCGUUUCUUGAAUCGGCUUCAGUUAGGUUCUACUUUCCUAUACUUUUCUCAGUAUAUGUCAGACUUCACUCAUAGAUGACAGUGGAGUUUUUUAAUACACUGUACAGAUCCCUUCCCAGGACUCUGAUUAAACUCACACACUCCAUCUGGUGUCACAAAAGCUGUUUCAAGCCUGGAUCCUCUCUCUGAGGUUAUUUGCCAACAACCUAUCUAUAAAUUAAUAGUUAUGGUACGUUUAUUAGUUUCCAGGCCUUCUAAUAGCAUAUCAAUUCUGGACAGAAGCUUAGCAUCUGGUUUGGCCAAAGAAUUUAAUUUUCUACAAACCACAUAAUCUAAUCAGAUCAUCUGGUCUUCAAACACUAAUUCGGUGGCCUUGAAGUGCUGAUGCGAGCACCAGGCCCGAGCCGGACAGAGUUUUCACCAGCCUGUAAGGAGGGGGUUUUACGAAAAGGUCAAUAUAGUGGAUUUUUUAAAAGGGUAACUAUAUUCAGCUUAAAGGACUGUCCAUUUUUCUGAGGUUAUGCUCUUUCUUCAUUGUCAAGUGUGUUAUAAUAUUUAAGAUAUUUUUCUUUAAAUAAACGUAUUUGACAAAAUAAAAAUGGACAACUCUGACAGUGCCUCAGAUCUUGGAGAACGUUUUACUGAUAUGAAAUCUAAAGCAAUAGGCUAUCCCAGACUGAUGGAGCGCCCAGUGACUUUACGAAGAUGGGACAAGCCCAGGUGUAAAACCUCCCCCGCCCCUUUCUGGUAUCAGUAAACACCUGCCACUGUUUCUGGUCAGGGACGGCCAGAGAUGAAAAGGUUAGCUUCCCAGAUGGGCUUUUAAAGAGAAGCCUUUAGUCCAACAUCGACUUCUUCUGCAGGAAGAGAGAAUGAGGCAUCUGACUUCGCCCAUAUUUCCCGGUCUUCAUUUUCUGAGAUAUCUGCCUUUCAAAAAAGUUAUUAUUAUUGCUUUUCUAACUUUCAUUCACUGGGCAUCAGUUUGACCUUCAGCUUCAGUAACAAAAAUAAGAGAGCGCCCUUUCAUCCCCAGGCCACACCAGCCUCACCCAGUCAGGGCGUGGCUUCUAUUUCGUGUCCCUGGUCUCAGGGCUCCUGGCCUGGGACCACCCGCGGUCUUUUGCGGCUGUCCCCAGGAACCUCUCUGAUUUUCUUGUCCUUCCUUCCUCCCCCAACCGAAAGAAGAGUAAGGGGUACAAGAUGGUCCAAGGGGAGGGAAUGGCCUCCACUCUGCAUUGAGGACCAGCUUUUGCUGAGUUCCACCCAAAGCCCUGUCAUACUCAUUCUUGGCUAAAACCUAACCAGGGGCCAAGUGCGAAGGUGGCUUCCUUCCCACCUCCUAUUCCUACCUACCUGGGACCCCACCCCCUUAGGGCUCUUUGCUCUUCCUCACCUCCCUGGCUUAUUUCACGGCGGCUAUUUCUUAAUCCGGAGUGCCUGCCCAUCAUAAACCUUCUUCCCUGUCUGUCCUAAAAGGCUUCAAAGUCUUUGUGCAAACAGAACUUCCUUGACAGCCUGUGGAUCCUAAACCCUUCCCCAUCCCACCUGUGACCUUCAACACUGCAACGCUGAGUCCUGCUUCAAGGCUGGUCUGAGGCCAAGGAGGAGCUGGAAAGCCCACCGAGGGCUAUGUGAAUACUGUUCUGUAGAUUUUACACUCAGCAAUCAAUCCGCCAUCUUUCCAUGUCAAUAUACAUAAAGCUACCUCCACACGUUUAACCGGUGAACAGUACUCUUUUAUGUGGUUAUGCCGUAAUUUAUCCUAUCCUCUGUUGAUGGAUAUUCAGGUUAUUUCCAACUUUUCUCUAUUACAAACAAUGGUGCAACAAACAUCCUUGUACAUGUUUCUUUUUCCACUUGUCUUUCUGUUUAUAGCAGUAUUUCUGGACCCAAGAAUACAACAUAUAAAUGCUGAUACCGGUAGGUGGUACAUUUUUGGAAGGUAAUUUUCCUCGAACAGGAUAUGAACAUUCUUUUUGCCAAUCACUGUUUCCAUUUCAAUUUCUCUAAUUACUGGGGAUGUAGAAUCUGUGAAUAUGUUUAACUGCCUGUACUUUUUUUUUUUUCGGUGAGGAGGGUGCGCUCUAACAUCUGUUGCCCAUCCUCCUCUUUUUUUGCUUAAGAAAGAUUCCCCUGAGCUAACAUCUGUGGCCAAUCUUCCUCUGUUUUGUAUGGGCGUCGCCACCACAGCACGGCUUGAUGAGUGGUGUAGGUCCGCGCCUGGGAUCCAAACCUGCACACCCAGGCUGCUGAAGCGGAGCGUGCUGGACUUAACCACUCUGCCACGGGCCCAGCCCCUGCUUUGUACUUCUCUAUCUGUACAUUUUCUUUUACUAUUCUUUGCCCGCCUUCCAUUUGGGGUUACAAGUCUAAAAGGAAAUAAAGGUUCUUGAAUAUGAAUAUGAGCCCUGGCCCUCCCCAUUUACAUUCGUCGAGCAGCUAAGUCCCAGGCACUGUGCCACAUGCACAGUAUCUCAGUCACUCUUCAGAGCAACCUUGCAGGGAAGCCUCAUUUUCCCAAUUUUACUCAGGAGACUGAGGCCCAGCAAGGUUAGUGGGAGAGCUGAUACUCAUCUCCAAGUUUGUUUUCAGGCCUGUGGUCUUUCCAUGAUACCAGUCACACCCUCUAAACGAAAAUCCCCCAAUAGGAUUUUAAGGUGGUUUCCAGAUAGUAAUGGGAAAAUGAUAUGGGAGCUAGAAGACAAAAGAAAUAGGGGUGGAGAGAGUGACAUCUCCCUUCUUGCUGUGUGGUCAAAACACAUCAUUCGUUAACAGAGGCAGGUCAUUCGUGGCUUCCCAUGUUUCAAGCCCAAGGCUCUGAUUGCAGUAUAUUCCUGUUCAAUUGCAUUCCACAGUUAGGUUCUAAGGGAUGGAUUAUAGAGUCACGAAAUGUUGGACUGUAUACUGUUUAACUUAAAACCAAACCAAACCCCACUUCCCGGCCCAGCCCGAGAUUCUGACUUCGUUGGCCAGGGGACGGCCUGGGCAUCAGUGGUUUGGCAGCUUCCCGAGUGAUUCUCAUUUGCAGCCACGGCUGAGACCCACUGUCUUAGGUCAUCUCUACUAUCCCUUCUAGCUCUAACGUCCACAUUUCAUAGCUGAGAAAGGGAGGCUCAGAAAGGGAAUGUGAUUUGCCCAAUGUCACACUGCUCUAAGUGGCGAACUCAGACUACAGUGCAGGUUUGAUGGCCUCCAGAGGGCACAUGUCCAGGGCCCUCAUAGUCCUUCCUUUUCAGAGGUGCCUCCACUGACAGCUUUAUUCAUGGGUACAGAUAACGGUUGAUAACAACAUUGUUUCCAGGGUAAGAGCUUGAGUCAUUUGUAUCAGAACUUGCUACUCUGCUGCCUUUGCUCCCGGCUGUACUCUAUGAGCCGGUUCCCUCUGCUCAUGAUCAUGGCUCCUUCCCCUGCACGUCCAAUUCAAGCCACAUCUUUUCUUGUGAGCUUCAUCUUCGUGUGUGUCACUGUUAC